rnacentral:rRNA from 1 species
UACGUAGGGGGCAAGCGUUGUCCGGAUUUAUUGGGCGUAAAGCGCUCGCAGGCGGUCCCGUGCGUCGUGCGUGAAAGGCCCCCGGCUCAACCGGGGGGCGGUCGUGCCGAUACGGCGGGACUGGAGGCCAGUAGGGGGGACGCGGAAUUCCGGGUGUAGUGGUGGAAGUGCGUAGAGAUCCGGCAGGAACACCAGCGGCGAAGGCGGCUAUCUGGACGGUUUCUGACGCUAAGACGCGAAAGCGUGGGGAGCAACAGG